rnacentral:rRNA from 1 species
GCAGUCGCCGCGGGAACACAGAGGGUGCGAGCGUUAAUCGGAUUUACUGGGCGUAAAGCGUGCGUAGGCGGCUUCUUAAGUCGGAUGUGAAAUCCCUGAGCUUAACUUAGGAAUUGCAUUCGAUACUGGGAAGCUAGAGUAUGGGAGAGGAUGGUAGAAUUCCAGGUGUAGCGGUGAAAUGCGUAGAGAUCUGGAGGAAUACCGAUGGCGAAGGCAGCCAUCUGGCCUAAUACUGACGCUGAGGUACGAAAGCAUGGGGAGCAAACAGGAUUAGAUACCCCUGUAGUCCCUGUCUCUUAUAC